CUGAUGAACAUUGUUUUUUAUACAUUUAAGAUGUGUUCUGUUGCCAAUGUUUAUGGCUGGAUGUUGUAUUCAGACAUAGUGUUAAUACCUGUACUGUCACUUUAAGAGUGUCGCAGGCUUUGUGGCGUCAUUCACGCGCUUCCUUCAGUUUGCGCCAGACUAGCUGAGAGGAGGUAAUGUAUUAUUUUGCUCGUCAGUUUUAAACAUUUAUUUCGGUUUUUGUACGAUGCAAACCUUGUUUUAUGCAUGUAUAAAUGUUAGUUUUGAGGUUGUGAACAUGCAGUUAGUGUCAAUUGAACGUAAACCUUGUAAACAGACUUUUUCCAAGCUUUAAAGUAGACAUGUUUCCACGUGCUAGUCUACAGGAUUUUCUGUAUGUUUAUCUGCUAACAGGAGCUUGAGACCUGUGUAUUGUGUGGAGGAGACUGCAUGUGACAGAGCCUUAUGUAUUUUUUUGUUGAAUUGUACAGUUUGCACCAGGUUUGCUGAGAGGAAACGAAUUUGCUGUUCGCCUUCAUUAAAAGAGAAACCAGCAGUACAGUUGGUCGUGGUCUGUGUCUUUCCUUCAUUCAACACAACAAGAACACAACGCAGAAUAUACAAGGGUUAAGGGACGUGCAUCCAACCUAACCAACUGUUAAAGACAGAGCGCGUCCGUUACACUUGCUAAUUACUUACAAAGCACUAAAUGGUUUAGCUCCCCAGUAGUUGAGCGAGCUCUUAAUGCAUUAUAGUCCUUCAUGUCUAUUGUGAUCUCAGAAUUCUGGCCAGUUGAUAAUACCUAGAAUACAGUGGUGUGCAGUUGUGUUUUAAAAUGAGGAGGGAACAUCCUCAUUUAUGUCCCUGUUACACAAUUUUCCUGGUUAAGUUAUAAAAAGAGAGACCAAAUACAAUUCUAUUUUGUAUUUUUACACUAUGUAAUGUUCUAUUUAUUAAAACCAAGUCUAAAUUUCAUCAAGUUAGUGUUUUACGCAUUUUCACAUUUAUUCCAAAAUAAUAACUAAAGGCAGUAACAAUUUAAACAAUAUAUAUUAUGUAUAAACUAAUAUUCAGCUUUUCUUUUUAAUAGUCAAUAUAUUUUCAGCAGUCAUGAAGCUUGACACAAAGAUGUACCUUUAAUUUCAUCAUGCUGAUUGCUCACUAAAACCCCCCGCAGUCAUCAUGUUCUCAGGCCAUUUUGAGUUUGAUUUUGGGGAAAUAAAGCAGUGAUAUCUAAGUGACAGUUGUUUACUUACUUUUUAAUUAGUCUUCCCGUUAACGCCAUCACUGUCUUCAUUCAGGCUGAUUCGACAAGAAUGCAUACAAAAACAAGAGGCGGGAUUUAUCGCACGAACCAAUCAUGUCCAAUCGCAACUGAUCAUAUCCAAUCAUAGCGCGAUGGAGGCAUUGCCUCCUCUCACAUGACUUUCCCCCAUUCAUUCUCAAUUACCCCCCGCUAAACCCACCGCAAGCUUAGGGGGCUCUGCUUUGUUUCUAUGAGCUGAAGGGAGGCUGUAACUUCACCUGCGGGUGUCGCUGUUUGACAGUGUUUCUUUAGAAAAACGAGUGGCUUUUACACUUUUUAAUGUCAUUGUAACAAUUUUUGUAACAUUUUGUAACAUUUGCAUUGUUUUAUUUUUGUAAUAUUGAUUAUUUUCUCAUCCAGUUUUUUUGAGGAGGCUCUGCCUCCCUUGCGUCUUCGGAGGAAACGCCCCUGCUAGAAUAUCAAAAACAACUGCAGGCAGUAGUUCCUUUUCCUAUUUGGCACCUAAACUUUCUUCCUAGCAUUGUCUGGGAAGCAGACACACUCAUGUCAGUUUAAAUCUAAACUAAAAACGCAUCUCUUUAACCUGGCAUACACAUAACACAUUGUCAAUUUAUAUUUUCACAUCCGUUAAAGGAUUGUCAGGCUGCAUAAAUUAGGUCAGCCAGAACCGGGAACACUUCCUAUAACACCCGAUGUACUCAUUACAUCAUAAGAGGAAUGGCAUUUAUGCUAAUAUUAGUCUCUCUGUUUAUCCCGAGGUUUACCGUAGUCAGCCGGAUCCGUGCCGUAUCCAGAUCAGAUGGAGGACCUGCACAUAGACAUGACUACAAUGCAUCCCUGAAGUGUCAGCAGAGAUUGUGUCAGCUAUCCCCUGUGAAGGCCUCAUCGACAUGACAGCCAUUGGCACAGAUCCUCAACAAAACUGUUUCCAUACCGGCUUGAUAAAUCCAACCUUUAACCAGAAGGAACUUUUUUAACUGUUCCGAUCCAAUUUGACUUGUGACCCGUAACGCUGCCUGAAUCAUAAUCAUGCACUGUUCAUUGUUGUCCAGAGAAGAACUGGACCCCCGAAAAGCUGCUUUGACACAGCCUGCAUUGUAAAAAGAGCUAUAUAAAUAAAGGUGACUUGACUUGACUAUAAGUUAUAAAAGGAAUAAAAUAAAUAGGACUACACUACAUAUAUUUCAUUUAAAUAAUUAACAGAUUAAUAAAAGAAAAAUACUGUGUGAUGCUCAUUUUUGUGACACUCUUUAUAUCUUUAUUUUAUUAAAUCCAAGUGAUCGCAGGCGCCUCACACGCACAAACAACAUCAUUUCUAGCAUUUAUAACUUGACAUUUCAGCCAUUCAUCAUCAAACUAAAAUGCAGUCAACACUGCUCAAAUUAAAUGAGACCACAGACAUUUUUCCGCAUGUGAAGGAUGCUGUUUUACGUGGAUAUUGGAACACGGGUGAAGUACAAAGCCUUUAUUGUUUACAUAAUGAAUCAUAAUUUAGCAACCAAAAUGUUGCAUGCAAAUAUAGAAACAUAUUUGGAUUCUUGCCAAAUGAGAGAGGCUCAAGCCCAUCAAUUUCGCUUUAGCAUAAAAAAGUUAAUUUGGGCUUGACUUGUGUUGUUUAUAAUGAAUGCCACUAUGGCUAUCUAAAUUAUGUUUUAUUUUACAGUUUAAGAUAUCAUUUUAUAACUACUUUUUCGUUCUUGUUCUGUUCUGAAUACCAUUAAACUUUUCUGAAUACUGUUAAACAAAACUAAGGUUUUGUUGUGGAGAGAACUACAAUAGGCCUAUGAAUGUAUUGUUUUUUUUUUACCGGUAUAUACAUAUAAAUUAAUGUAAUUGUUUGCAAUUAUAUGGUUAACGGGUGUUUUAGGUGUACAAUGGUGUGUACAGCCAAUCACCGUUCGUUUUGUUCAGCGUCAUGUUUAGAAGGUGAAAAUGUAAAGUUGAUGUCCCUACAAUAACAGAUCAGCAUGUAAAACUCUUGGAUGUAUUUUAAAGAAUCUAUGACAUGAAGUUCACACACUUCACAUACUUUUGAUUUGAAAAUCCAGUGUUUAGUUGAUCAUGAUGAGCUCUAUUUCCAGGAAGAUGCAACACGCUCAUCUCUGUGAAAUCCUGUAGAAAUGCUUAAAAAGUGCACAUACCUUGUAAGCCCACUCAUGACUUUUUACGUUUGAAAUAAAGGAAAUUUUACAAUAAA